AUACUUACCUGGCAGGGGAGGUACCAUGAUCAUGGAGGUGGCUUUCCUAGGGCGAGGCUUAUCCAUUGCACUCUGAUGUGCUGACUCCUGCAGUUUCCCCAAAUAUGGGAAACUUGACGGCAUACUUUGUGGUAGUGGGGGACUGUGUUCACAUUCUCCCCUU
ensembl:snRNA U1 U1 spliceosomal RNA